AAGCGUUUAUGACCAGACUUGGGCUUGGUUAAUCAUCUGGGGUUCUCCCCAGUGCACUUUUCCAGUCCAGGCCAGCAUCAGUUUUCCCCGGGGGAUAAAGGCGGCGGGAAUGUGGCUCCUCCGGGAGUGUUAUAGCCCAUUGCAUAAUACCCUGGGGCGGACUGAGGUUCGCGCAUUCGUGCAAGGAUGCUGGCGUAAUGGUCAUCAGCGA
rnacentral:rRNA from 1 species